rnacentral:rRNA from 1 species
CAUCCCGGCUUACCAACCCGAUGCAAACUGCGAAUACCGGAGAAUGUUAUCACGGGAGACACACGGCGGGUGCUAACGUCCGUCGUGAAGAGGGAAACAACCCAGACCGCCAGCUAAGGUCCCAAAGUCAUGGUUAAGUGGGAAACGAUGUGGGAAGGCCCAGACAGCCAGGAUGUUGGCUUAGAAGCAGCCAUCAUUUAAAGAAAGCGUAAUAGCUCACUGGUCGAGUCGGCCUGCGCGGAAGAUGUAACGGGGCUAAACCAUGCACCGAAGCUGCGGCAGCGACACUCAGGUGUUGUUGGGUAGGGGAGCGUUCUGUAAGCCUGCGAAGGUGGCCUGUGAGGGUUGCUGGAGGUAUCAGAAGUGCGAAUGCUGACAUAAGUAACGAUAAAGCGGGUGAAAAGCCCGCUCGCCGGAAGACCAAGGGUUCCUGUCCAACGUUAAUCGGGGCAGGGUGAGUCGACCCCUAAGGCGAGGCCGAAAGGCGUAGUCGAUGGGAAACGGGUUAAUAUUCCCGUACUUGGUGUUACUGCGAAGGGGGGACGGAGAAGGCUAUGUUGGCCGGGCGACGGUUGUCCCGGUUUAAGCGUGUAGGUGUGUGUUCCAGGUAAAUCCGGUU